rnacentral:rRNA from 1 species
UACGGGGGGAGCAAGCGUUGUUCGGAUUUACUGGGCGUAAAGGGCGCGUAGGCGGCCACCGCAAGUCGACUGUGAAAUCUCCGGGCUUAACCCGGAAAGGUCAACUGAUACUGCAGGGCUAGAGUGCAGAAGGGGCAACUGGAAUUCUCGGUGUAGCGGUGAAAUGCGUAGAUAUCGAGAGGAACACCUGCGGCGAAGGCGGGUUGCUGGGCUGACACUGACGCUGAGGCGCGAAAGCCAGGGGAGCAAACAGG